GUGCCAGCCGCCGCGGUAAUACCGGCAGCUCGAGUGAUGGCCAAUAUUAUUGGGCCUAAAGCGUCCGUAGCUGGCCGGACAAGUCCGUCGGGAAAUCCAUCCGCCUAACGGAUGGGCGACCGGCGGAAACUGUUCGGCUUGGGGCCGGAAGACCCGAGGGGUACGUCCGGGGUAGGAGUGAAAUCCCGUAAUCCUGGACGGACCGCCGGUGGCGAAAGCGCCUCGGGAAGACGGACCCGACAGUGAGGGACGAAAGCUGGGGUCUCGAACCGGAUUAGAUACCCCGGUAGUCC
rnacentral:rRNA from 1 species